UUUUAGCCCUGAUGGAAGCGACAACCUUUUUCUCGCUCCUUUAGCGAGGAAAAGAUAUAGCGGACAGCAGGAUUAGCU
rnacentral:sRNA from 2 species